UGCUUUUUGUGCUUCAGGAGAGACGAAUCAGAGAGAGACUGCAGCAGCACUGAGAGCAGGGUGGGGGUGGUCUGGGCCUGCCUGCUUGCCUGCCUGGUCCCACACUGUUUCACUCCCCACCCCCAGGAUUUCUAGAAGUUAAUGCAAUGAAUAGAGAAUGGAUGUACCUUGUCUAUAGCAGACAGUCCAGAUGAAAGCAGGAGUGGUGAGUUAUAACAUGGAUCGACAGGGAGAUGAUUUGAUGGAAAGGAAGAUAUUUCACUUCCAAGGCAUGUCCAACCUCGCUGAAAAUUUGAAAACCAGUGCCAGGAAGCCAAUAAUUUUAUUUCAUUUUGAUUGGUUGCUGACAUCUGCAAGUAAUUAACUAAGGGAUGGGCAGCCACCGUCACAGUCAUUUCACAAGGAGUUCUCUUCUCUGUUAUCAUUUAGAGCUAAAACAUACCAAACAUUUCCCCCUCAAAACCAUAGGAGAAUGUUGGCAGUGAACAUUCAACAAGUACCUCGAUUCAGCAUCAGCACUCACCUUCUGCAGAAUGGCAACAAACAACAUUUGAUAGAAUCAGGGGAGGAACUACUAUUGGGCAAUCAUGUUCAGUAAACACAAGCCACCAGAUGGGACCAGGGGGACUGCCCAAUGGGGUCAGUGCCAGUGUCACCCAGCACUUGCCUCCACAGCCACACCCAUCCCUCCCUCUCUUCCUCCCUCAUUAGUGGUAAGUGAAGCAUGGACGAGGGAUGCUGGCAUGCAUGGAGCCAGGGCUGCGGGAGCCCACCUACCUACCCUUCUCUCUCUCUCCAUCCUCAUUGGU